rnacentral:miRNA from 1 species
UAUGUACAAAUGUUGCGCUGCC